UUUAAUAUUUUGUCCUUUUUUAAACUCUAAUAUACAGUUCUGUUCAUCACAUCCACAGCAUCUGGAAUCAGCAGCCCAUGCUAUACCAAAUAUGCAAAGUGGUAGAUUUUACAGUCGGUUGCGUUUUACUCUAUUAUUAGAGGAUUUGAGAACUAAAACCUUUGGCAAAGUCAUGAGAUGUGAAAUAAAAUACAUGUGGUGCACAUGCAAACUGACAUGAGAAAUGUAAAUGUGCAAAUUGUUUCUCUUACUGGCAUAACCACACCUCACACCUGCUGUUUGUGAUGCUCCGUUGCUCUUUGCAUUCUCUCACUUCUGUAUUUUGGUACUUUUUUGAGACCUGGGUGUUACUCAAUGCUUCCGCUUGCUGCUUGCCCUGACCACUCUGCCCUAUCAUGCAUAACAACUGUGCAACAGACUUCCUGCCCUAUCUUCACCUGACACAGUAACACCAAACAAUGUCAAAUUAUAACUCUGCCAUCUAGCCUAAAGACAAACACACUACACUUAAAACUGAAACAGUUCCUCAUUUACCAAAAUCUGAAGGUAUGUAUAACUGAGAUGACAUUAACUUUUUUUCUUGCUGCGUUAACACAUAGAAUUUAUAAUUAUGCAUGUAAAGUCAAACUAAUAUUUGCUCUUUCUCAGUGCCUCGGAUUGUCUCAGCAAACAUCACAUUGUACUCAGUCUGGGAUGGGGAAGUUGGAAUCUCAACAGUAAGGCUCAUCUGCACAUUGAGUGGCUCCUUUCUAGACAAACUGACUUUGGAGUGGUUCCUGGACGAAAAACGGGAUCAAAGCAAUAAGGCAAGCACAAGGAAGCUACAAAGUGCAGGGGGAGAACAGAAAACCUUCAGCCUGAGCAGUGAGUUUAGGCCAAAUAUGGCAUCGUGGGCAGAAGGCUCAACUUUUGCCUGCAAGACUAAGCCCAAUGGUGAUCAAUAUAACAGAGCAAUAAACAUUUGUCACACUCUUCCAAGCUCCUCUCCCUUCAUUCAAGUGGAGAUUCCCAGCUUCAAGACUGUAAUUACCUCAAAUACUGACAUGCAAGCAACGUGUUUGGUCCACACUUAUUUUGAUGCCACGAUCACCUGGCUGAUUGAUGGCAAAGCCGUGACUAAAACAGCGACCCGAGAGAAAAACGCAACUCAUAUAAUCAGCAAUCUUUCAGUUUCCUCGACUCAAUGGGAGAACAUGAAGAAUGUAACAUGCAAAGCAGAGCAUAAGUGCUUCACAUCUGCUGAGAAGACCAUAAAUAAUGCAGGUUGUCCAGUUAAUACUCCUUUGGUGGAGAUCAGGCGAUCUCUCACAGAUCUGCCGAAGAGAGACAGUGCAGUGUUCGAGUGUGACAUCAAACAACUGUCCUCAUGUAACCUCUUCAUCGCCUUAGAAGUCAAUCGUGGUGAAAUUCUUGAAAAAAAACAUUAUAAUUUUGCUGAAGGCUCAGUAGCCAAACUUUCAAUCAGUAGUCAAUUCAUUGUCCCUCAGAAGUACUGGAUGAAAGACCAAACCUUUACCUGCAAAGUGAUUCAAGGCUCUUCUAAAACCUUUCACUCAAACUCCAUCAGCAAUAUUUUUGUGGACCCAUCCAUGGAGCUUCUUCUGGUUCCCAGUAAAGGUUCAGAAUCACAGACUCUUUCAUGCUCUGGAUGGAGCUUCAACCCUCACAUUAAAUGGUUGUCUGAGUCUCAGGAAAGGUCUCCAACUUCCACUAAUAUCAGCAUGAGUGUAGAUGGACGUGUUAGAGUAACGAGUCAACUUGUAAUUGAUCAAUCUGAGUGGAAAAAAGGGAAUAAUUUCACCUGUGAAGUGUCUGACAGGUCUCUGAACACAAGUAUCACAAAAACAAUCAGUCUCUGUUCAGAAACUCCAUCAUCAUCACAGCUAGUUGGGGUUUAUGUCCAGGGACCACUGCCACAGCUGACUGAGAGCAAAGAACAUGUGACUAUUACCUGUCUUCUGGUCGGCCCUAAUCUUAGUGAUUUCUCCAUCACCUGGAGAGUAGGUGGCAGCAAAAUUCCCGAGAGUUAUGGUGUCCUAACUAAUCUCUCAGUGAGUCAUAACAAUGGAACAGAGACUCGACAGAGCUUCCUUAAAGUGUUAGCAGUGGAUUGGGAUGCACAUACAAACAUUUCUUGUGAAGGAAAACAUCCAUGUUCCAAUCAUGGGAAUGAAGACCAUAUAAGCAAAAGCAGAGACUUCCUUGAGCCAACAGUGAAGAUAAUACAACCAACUGCCUCUGAACUUUCUAAGUCUGACAUCCUAACGCUUGUUUGCCUAGUGUCUGAAUAUUUCCCUGCUAACAUCAUAGUGCACUGGGAAGAAGAUGGCCGGACUCUCGCAUCCUCACAUUACGUAAACAGUCCUCCAUGGAAAUACUCAGGGAGCAGCUCUUACUCUAUGAGCAGCAGACUAAACAUAUCCAAAACUGAAGCCACAAGGUCUACGUAUUCUUGUGUUGUCAAACAGGAGUCAUCUAAAGCGCCUGUUAAAGACAAUAUAACUGAUGUGUUUGCCUCAGUGAUCUACAGCCAGCCAUCAGUCUACUUGUUUCAGGGCUCUAAUGAACUUGUGUGCCUGGUCUUUGGCUUCAGCCCUGUAUCCAUUAACAUCACUUGGUUUCAAAAUGGAGGCACAGAACCGCUGAACUACAACACUAGUGAGCCCCACAGAGGCCCAGAUGGAAAGUUCAGUGUCAAGAGCCACCUUUACCUGUCCCAAGAAAUAUUCUUACCUGGGUGGUCUUCACCUGCCGGGUGAUCCAUGCCAACACCACCCUGUCCCGGAAUAUAUCGAAACCAGAUACGAUGAAAUAUUGUAAUUUAUUUGACAACAUUGUGCAUGCUGAUGUGAAUGAAGACACAGCUGAGGAAAGCUGGAAUGUGGCUUUCACCCUCACUGGUUUUUUCAUCAUCGCCACCAUAUAUGGUAUCAUAGUUACAUUAUUUAAGACUAAACCAUGAUGUUCACAGGACGGUUCAUGUAUUAUGACUGAAAUGUCUAAGUUCUGGGGGUUUGAACAGCACCUGUCCUGACUAGUUUGAACAUGUAAUGCUUUGUUUUUCCAUUGUUAUUGAUGACAUUGUUUAUGCUUUACAAUUUUUGGCAUUUGUGUUUUAGUUUUGUGCUAGAUGCGACAUGUAUGUAAGACAAGUGAGAAAUGCAUUAAAAAUCAAUAAAGAAAACAAAUAACUAA